GGGCGAUUAGCUCAGCUGGUAGAGCGCUUCGUUUACACCGAAGAUGUCGGCGGUUCGAGUCCGUCAUCGCCCACCA
rnacentral:tRNA from 2 species